ACCAUAUAUAGCGUUAGAGGUUCCUUGAUUCGAGAGAAUUGAAGGCUAAGACGGGAAUACGGUGCGCGGCUUCCAUAUGGAAACCGCUAUGCCGGAGCUGCCCCCGCAACUGUAAGCGGCGAGCGUGCGUUCCAUCAAGCCACUGGCGCCGGAGGGUGCUGGGAAGGCGGGAUGCAUGUGACGACCUGCGAGCCAGGAGACCUGCCUCGAGCAAAACGUCCAC
rnacentral:ncRNA from 2 species